AUUAGAUACCCUGGUAGUCCACGCAGUAAACGAUGAAUACUAACUGUCCGUGUCGAUUGAGACCUGGGUGGUACAGCGAAAGCGUUAAGUAUUCCACCUGGGGAGUACGCCGGCAACGGUGAAACUCAAAGGAAUUGACGGGGGCCCGCACAAGCGGAGGAACAUGUGGUUUAAUUCGAUGAUACGCGAGGAACCUUACCCGGGCUCAAACGACGGAUGAAUGUUUUUGAAAGGAGGCAGCCCUUCGGGGCGUCCGUCGAGGUGCUGCAUGGUUGUCGUCAGCUCGUGCCGUGAGGUGUCGGCUUAAGUGCCAUAACGAGCGCAACCCCUACCGCCAGUUGCCAGCAGGUAAAGCUGGGGACUCUGGCGGGACUGCCGGCGCAAGCUGCGAGGAAGGCGGGGAUGACGUCAAAUCAGCACGGCCCUUACGUCCGGGGCGACACACGUGUUACAAUGGCAGGUACAGCGGGAAGCCACCUGGCGACAGGGCGCGGAACCCGAAAACCUGUCUCAGUUCGGAUUGGAGUCUGCAACCCGACUCCAUGAAGCUGGAUUCGCUAGUAAUCGCGCAUCAGCCACGGCGCGGUGAAUACGUUCCCGGGCCUUGUACACACCGCCCGUCAAGCCAUGGAAGCCGGGAGUGCCUGAAGAGCGUGACCGCAAGGAGCGUCCUAAGGCAAUACCGGUGACUGGGGCUAAGUCGUAACAAGGUACC
rnacentral:rRNA from 1 species